rnacentral:rRNA from 1 species
ACUGCUCAGUAACACGUGGACAACCUACCCUCAGCACGGGGAUAAACCCGGGAAACUGGGUAUAAUACCCGAUAGUUCUGGAGAGCUGGAAUGCUAUCAGGACGAAAGCUCCGGCGACUGAGGAUGGGUCUGCGGCCUAUCAGGUAGUAGUGGGUGUAAUGUACCUACUAGCCUACGACGGGUACGGGUCGUGAGAGCGAGAGCCCGGAGAUGGAUUCUGAGACACGAAUCCAGGCCCUACGGGGUGCAGCAGGCGCGAAAACUUUACAAUGCUGGCAACAGCGAUAAGGGGACCUCGAGUGCCAGGAUACAAUCUUGGCUGUCGUAAUGCCUAAAAAGCAUUGCAUAGCAAGGGCCGGGCAAGACCGGUGCCAGCCGCCGCGGUAACACCGGCGGCUCGAGUGGUAACCGCUAUUAUUGGGUCUAAAGGGUCUGUAGCCGGCCGGAUAAGUCUUUUGGGAAAUCUGGCAGCUCAACUGUCAGGCUUUCAGAAGAUACUGUUCGGCUCGAGGCCGGGAGAGGUGAGAGGUACUUCAGGGGUAGGGGUGAAAUCUUGUAAUCCUUGAAGGACCACCAGUGGCGAAGGCGUCUCACCAGAACGGUCCUGACGGCAAGGGACGAAAGCUAGGGGCACGAACCGGAUUAGAUACCCGGGUAGUCCUAGCCGUAAACGAUACUCGCUAGGUGUCAGCCACGGUGCGACCGUGGUUGGUGCCGUAGGGAAGCCGUGAAGCGAGCCACCUGGGAAGUACGGCCGCAAGGCUGAAACUUAAAGGAAUUGGCGGGGGAG